GCGGGUGUAGCUCAUUGGUAGAGCAGUCGCUUCCCAAGCCACGUGUAGAGGGUUCGAUUCCCUUCACCCGCUCCA
rnacentral:tRNA from 1 species